rnacentral:rRNA from 1 species
AUCAUGGCUCAGAUUGAACGCUGGCGGCAUGCCUUACACAUGAAAGUCGAACGGCAGCGGGCCUUCGGGUGCCGGCGAGUGGCGAACGGGUGAGUAAUGCAUCGGAACGUGCCAUUGAGUGGGGGAUAACGUAGCGAAAGUUACGCUAAUACCGCAUAUUCUGUGAGCAGGAAAGCAGGGGACCGCAAGGCCUUGCGCUCUUUGAGCGGCCGAUGUCAGAUUAGCUAGUUGGUGAGGUAAAGGCUUACCAAGGCGACGAUCUGUAGCGGGUCUGAGAGGAUGAUCCGCCACACUGGAACUGAGACACGGUCCAGACUCCUACGGGAGGCAGCAGUGGGGAAUUUUGGACAAUGGGCGCAAGCCUGAUCCAGCCAUGCCGCGUGAGUGAAGAAGGCCUUCGGGUUGUAAAGCUCUUUCGGCCGGGAAGAAAUCGCAUGGGUUAAUACCCUGUGUGGAUGACGGUACCGGAAUAAGAAGCACCGGCUAACUACGUG